rnacentral:rRNA from 1 species
UUGAACGCUGGCGGCAUGCUUUACACAUGCAAGUCGAACGGUAGACCCUUUCGGGGGUUGAGAGUGGCGAACGGGUGAGUAAUGCAUCGGAACAUACCCAGUCGUGGGGGAUAACGUAGCGAAAGUUACGCUAAUACCGCAUGAGUCCUGAGGGAGAAAGCGGGGGAUCUUCGGACCUCGCGCGAUUGGAGCGGCCGAUGUCGGAUUAGCUAGUAGGUGAGGUAAAGGCUCACCUAGGCGACGAUCCGUAGCGGGUCUGGGAGGAUGAUCCGCCACACUGGGACUGAGACACGGCCCAGACUCCUACGGGAGGCAGCAGUGGGGAAUUUUGGACAAUGGGCGCAAGCCUGAUCCAGCCAUGCCGCGUGAGUGAAGAAGGCCUUCGGGUUGUAAAGCUCUUUCGGCCGGGAAGAAAUCGUGGUCUCUAACAUAGGCCAUGGAUGACGGUACCGGACUAAGAAGCACCGGCUAACUACGU